rnacentral:rRNA from 1 species
UACGAAGGGGGCUAGCGUUGCUCGGAAUUACUGGGCGUAAAGGGAGCGUAGGCGGACUGUUUAGUCAGAGGUGAAAGCCCAGGGCUCAACCUUGGAAUUGCCUUUGAUACUGGCAGUCUUGAGUACGGAAGAGGUAUGUGGAACUCCGAGUGCAGAGGUGAAAUUCGUAGAUAUUCGGAAGAACACCAGUGGCGAAGGCGACAUACUGGUCCGUUACUGACGCUGAGGCUCGAAAGCCAGGGGAGCAAACGGG